GGCAAGAUGGCCGAGCGGUCCAAGGCGCCAGGUUAAGGCCUCCCAACAGCCUUAACAGCAACUCAUUCCGAGUUCCUGGUCUUCGAAAGGGGGCGUGGGUUCGAAUCCCACUCUUGUCA
rnacentral:tRNA from 1 species